rnacentral:rRNA from 1 species
GAUGAACGCUGGCGGCGUGCCUAAUACAUGCAAGUCGAGCGAACAGACGAGGAGCUUGUUCCUCUGACGUUAGCGGCGGACGGGUGAGUAACACGUGGAUAACCUACCUAUAAGACUGGGAUAACUUCGGGAAACCGGAGCUAAUACCGGAUAAUAUAUUGAACCGCAUGGUUCAAUAGUGAAAGACGGUUUUGCUGUCACUUAUAGAUGGAUCCGCGCCGCAUUAGCUAGUUGGUAAGGUAACGGCUUACCAAGGCGACGAUGCGUAGCCGACCUGAGAGGGUGUUGGGCACACUGGAAACGAGACCACGGUCCGGACACCUAGGGAAGGCAGCAGAGGGAAACCUUCGGCAAUGGCGAAAGCCUGACGGAGCAACGCCGCGUGAGUGAUGAAGGUCUUCGGAUCGUAAAACUCUGUUAUUAGGGAAGAACAAAUGUGUAAGUAACUAUGCACGUCUUGACGGUACCUAAUCAGAAAGCCACGGCUAACUACGUG